GACGAACGCUGGCGGCGUGCUUAACACAUGCAAGUCGAACGAUGAAGCUAGAGCUUGCUCUGGUGAAUUAGUGGCGAACGGGUGAGUAACACGUGAGUAACCUGCCCCGAACUCUGGGAUAACUGCUGGAAACGGUAGCUAAUACUGGAUACGACCUACGAAGGCAUCUUCUAUAGGUGGAAAGAAUUUCGGUUCGGGAUGGACUCGCGGCCUAUCAGCUUGUUGGUGAGGUAAUGGCUCACCAAGGCGACGACGGGUAGCCGGCCUGAGAGGGUGACCGGCCACACUGGGACUGAGACACGGCCCAGACUCCUACGGGAGGCAGCAGUGGGGAAUAUUGCACAAUGGGCGCAAGCCUGAUGCAGCAGCGCCGCGUGAAGGAUGACGGCCUUCGGGUUGUAAACCUCUUUUAGUAGGGAAGAAGCGAAAGUGACGGUACCUGCAGAAAAAGCACCGGCUAACUACGUGCCAGCCGCCGCCGUAA
rnacentral:rRNA from 1 species